GAUGAACGCUGGCGGCGUGCCUAAUACAUGCAAGUCGAGCGAACAGACGAGGAGCUUGCUCCUCUGACGUUAGCGGCGGACGGGUGAGUAACACGUGGAUAACCUACCUAUAAGACUGGGAUAACUUCGGGAAACCGGAGCUAAUACCGGAUAAUAUAUUGAACCGCAUGGUUCAAUAGUGAAAGACGGUUUUGCGGUCACUUAUAGAUUGAUCCGCGCCUCAUUAGCUAGUUGGUAAGGUAACGGCUUACCAAGGCAACUAUGCGUAGCCGACCUGAGAGGGUGAUUGGCCACACUGGAACUGAGACACGGUCCAGACUCUUACGGUAGGCAGCAGUAGGGAAUCUUCCGCAAUGGGCGAAAGCCUGACGGAGCAACGCCGCGUGAGUGAUGAAGGUCUUCGGAUGGGAAAACUCUGUUAUUAUGGAAGUACAAAUGUGUAAGUAACUAUGCACGUCUUGACGGUACCGAAUCAGAAAGCCACGGCUAACUACGUG
rnacentral:rRNA from 1 species